AUGAACGCUGGCGGCGUAGCCUAAUACAUGCAAGUGAAACGGGUAUCUUCGGAUACCAGUCGCGGACGGGUGAGUAAUACAUAGGCAACCUGCCUUUAUGAGGGGGGAUAACCGAGGGAAACUUUGGCUAAUACCGCAUGAAGACUCUAAGGCAUCGUUAGAGGGAUAAAAGCUGGGAACAACGCAUGAAGAUGGGCUUAUGGCGCAUUAGCUAGUUGGUGAGAUAGAAGCCCACCAAGGUAAUGAUGCGUAGCCGACCUGAGAGGGUGAACGGCCACAUUGGGACUGAGACACGGCCCAAACUCCUACGGGAGGCAGCAGUAGGGAAUUUUCGGCAAUGGGGGGAACCCUGACCGAGCAACGCCGCGUGAAAAGGAAGAAGGUUUUCGGAUUGUAAACUUCUGUUAUAAGGGAAGAACGGAUUGGAUAGGGAAUGAUCUGAUAGUGACGGUACCUUAUUAGAAAGCCACGGCUAACUACGUGCCAGCAGCCGC
rnacentral:rRNA from 1 species